rnacentral:rRNA from 1 species
GAUGGCGACCGGCGCACGGGUGAGUAACACGUAUCCAACCUGCCGGUGACUCGGGGAUAGCCUUUCGAAAGAAAGAUUAAUACCCGAUGGCAUAGUUCUUCCGCAUGGUGGAACUAUUAAAGAAUUUCGGUCAUCGAUGGGGAUGCGUUCCAUUAGGUUGUUGGCGGGGUAACGGCCCACCAAGCCUUCGAUGGAUAGGGGUUCUGAGAGGAAGGUCCCCCACAUUGGAACUGAGACACGGUCCAAACUCCUACGGGAGGCAGCAGUGAGGAAUAUUGGUCAAUGGACGAGAGUCUGAACCAGCCAAGUAGCGUGAAGGAUGACUGCCCUAUGGGUUGUAAACUUCUUUUAUACGGGAAUAAAGUGAGGCACGUGUGCCUUUUUGUAUGUACCGUAUGAAUAAGGAUCGGCUAACUCCGUGCCAGCAGCCGCGGUAAUACGGAGGAUCCGAGCGUUAUCCGGAUUUAUUGGGUUUAAAGGGAGCGUAGGCGGACGCUUAAGUCAGUUGUGAAAGUUUGCGGCUCAACCGUAAAAUUGCAGUUGAUACUGGGUGUCUUGAGUACAGUAGAGGCAGGCGGAAUUCGUGGUGUAGCGGUGAAAUGCUUAGAUAUCACGAAGAACUCCGAUUGCGAAGGCAGCUUGCUGGACUGUAACUGACGCUGAUGCUCGAAAGUGUGGGUAUCAAACAGGAUUAGAUACCCUGGUAGUCCACACAGUAAACGAUGAAUACUCGCUGUUUGCGAUAUACAGUAAGCGGCCAAGCGAAAGCGUUA